AGUGUAUUGUAUCCGUGAAGAAUUUUAACUACAUAUAAACAUUUUAGAAUAUUGUACAGACACAAAUUCUUGGGAUUAAACACAGGAAAAUAUUCACUUCUUGUAUGAUACGAAUACAUAAGAAGUUAAAGAUGCAGAACAUCUUAACAUGUACGCUGCUGCUCAUUUGUCUUUCCCCAGCAGUUUUGUGUGCUUAUCACUAUCCGGGAUAUCCUGGCGUUGAUUGUCCAUCUGCUAGUGAAGAAAUGCUGAAAAAUCCACCUGGAGACUGGAUGAUUCCGAAAUGCAACAAAGACGGAUCUUUCCAAGAAAUGCAAUGCUUCGAUGAAUAGGGUCCCGAUGACUGUCUGUGCGUCUAUAAAGAUGGGACACCUCUCACUCUGGCACGGAGGGGAGAUAAUACCACGAGCUGCUUCUGUCAUGUCCUCACGUUCGAGCGUUAUUUGAUUGACAACGAUUUCCGAAUUUUAAAGUGUGACAAAAGUGGCUAUUUCAAUCCUUUGCAGUGCAGCAUGAAAACCCAUAAGUGCUGGUGUGUGACGAAAUACGGAAACGAAGUGGCGCCUCCAUCUUCUAGCCGACGAUCGUGCGAUGAUGUUCGUCAUCUUCUGGAGAACUAAAUUAUUGUGAUUUACAUUCAAUAAA